rnacentral:rRNA from 1 species
GGGGGCCCGCAAGCGGUGGAGCAUGUGGUUUAAUUCGAUGCAACGCGAAGAACCUUACCUACUCUUGACAUCCAGAGAACUUAGCAGAGAUGCUUUGGUGCCUUCGGGAACUCUGAGGCAGGUGCUGCAUGGCUGUCGUCAGCUCGUGUUGUGAAAUGUUGGGUUAAGUCCCGCAACGAGCGCAACCCUUAUCCUUUGUUGCCAUCGGUUCGGCCGGGAACUCAAAGGAGACUGCCAGUGAUAAACUGGAGGAAGGUGGGGAUGAUGUCAAGUCAUCAUGGCCCUUACGAGUAGGGCUACACACGUGCUACAAUGGCGUAUACAAAGAGAAGCGACCUCGCGAGAGCAAGCGGACCUCAUAAAGUACGUCGUAGUCCGGAUUGAAGUCUGCAACUCGACUCCAUGAAGUCGGAAUCGCUAGUAAUCGUAGAUCAGAAUGCUACGGUGAAUACGUUCCCGGGCCUUGUACACACC